UACAGAGGGGGCAAGCGUUGCUCGGAAUUACUGGGCGUAAAGGGCGCGUAGGCGGGAGUGGCAAGUCGGUCGUGAAAUCCUUCGGCUCAACCGAAGAACGUCGAUCGAUACUGCUGUUCUUGAGGGUUGCAGAGGAGACUGGAAUUCCCGGUGUAGCGGUGAAAUGUGUAGAGAUCGGGAGGAACACCGGUGGCGAAGGCGGGUCUCUGGGCAAUUCCUGACGCUGAGGCGCGAAAGCGUGGGGAGCAAACGGG
rnacentral:rRNA from 1 species